AUGUAUCUGUAUGAGAGACCUAAAGCAGUUACUAUAUGCUGCUAAGGUUUCUACUAGAAACACAAGAAAAAAAGGGUCCUCGACUUUCUGUCUGAUUGUGGCAGCCAAGUCUGAAUGUAACACGG
rnacentral:snoRNA from 1 species